rnacentral:misc_RNA from 1 species
CUAAGAACGAAUGAGAAAUUUAACGGUUACAAAGACGAACGCUAUUGAAAUACUUCUAAUAACUAGUUUUUGGUAUGUUUCUUGAAAAGUACUUUUUUGUGAAGAAAGAAGAUGAGGAUGAAAGAUGGUUAAACUGGAUUACGCAGAGUUGUUUAUCUACUUAACUCGCUUACGAUGCUUAAGUGAUUCAUAGUAAUAUACAUAUGAUCUAAGUUAUUAACGAAAGACUUUAUGUCUGAUAACAAUCUAUAUAGGUAUCUUGUACAUAAGGGAUGUCAAAGAUCCGGCCCGCGAUCGCAAUGUAUCACAGAAAGAAGAAUCAUGACUUCACUCGAUUUCUCUACGGAAGUUUUAAAAUGUGCACACUACAUUUAUAAGUAAUUUCAAGAGCAGCGCUUGCUUAGACAAGCGAGAGAGCUAGACAGAAACGCCAUCUUUUAGCAACAAGCGGAAAUAACUUAUUAUUUUUGUUUGAAAUUUUUUAUUUAAAUCUGGCCCAUCACAUCAUCAUCAUCGUUUCAGCCUACCACAGUCCACUGCUGAACAUAGGCCUGCACAAGUUCACGCCAAAAAUGGCGUCAAAUCUGGC